rnacentral:lncRNA from 1 species
CGAGCAGUCAAGCCUUGGACCCGGUGAGGCUCUCUCAUCACGGUCAAAGCCCGAGUUAGGACCCGUAAAGCUGGCAGAGUCGGUCAGAAGCUUCCCGCUGAAGCGUUCUCAGUAGUCGGGCGACACAGAACCUAGGCAGGAAUUCAGCCCUGAUUCCAAUUUCCGAACCAAUGGAUCUGGCAAAGUGUUUCCUGCCCUCGAUGUGGGCACACAAAGACGCCGCGGGUGCCCCCUCACCGGAUCUCUCGGGCAGCCGCUAACGCAAGGCCGCCGCCAUCCGGUCGUGAUCGUAACCGAGGCCUUGUCUGCGCAGAGGCCCACCAGGCCAGAAAACACGGACCUGACCAGCUUCCCUUAUGCACACCUUAGCACAUUCAAAACUGUGUACCGAGGGGGUGGGGGGAAUGAAACCUCGAAGCUUUCUCUAAGCCAGCCCUUUACCCUCCGGAAGAACGAUUUGGAAUGGAAGCGGAGAGACAGAUUUGGACAGAAAGAUGGAAGAUGCAAGAAAAAGAAAAGAAAAAAAAGGAAGGAGUAAGGGAAAGGAAAAAAAAAAAAGAAAGAAGAAAGGAAAGAGGAUAAAAAUACGUAAAAGAAACAGCGGCAACUGAGAGUAGAGGGCGCCCUUGCAGAGGAAGGGUAAGCAACAAGGCCAGGAUACCAGCCCCGGGCUGUCCUGACUCUCCCGUCUCUGGCUGGGUCUCUACUGGCGAAGGACCUUUGCCUCUGCUCGUAGCGGGAUUACAGUGACGAGCAUGUGUUCCAGCCCAGCCUUGCAGGAAAAUGACAGAGCCCCACACAGGCACAGGUAUGGAAAGCUCAGACAGCAAACGAGCGCCCCUGACCUUGAAUGGCCUGGGGCCCAGAAUUCUUACCACGCCCCCGGCGUCCAAGAAUCAGCCGCUAACCUGACUGUACCUGCUCCGGGCCAGGUGCCGGGCGGCGACAGUGAGGCGGGCUGGGUGGCACAGCGCCGAGGAAGACCCGAAGCUCCUCCUGCACAUGGGGAUCUGAGGUUGCCACCGCAGGCCUGGCACGAUUAGGCCUUGAUGGCCCGCCUAGCCAUCCCGGGCUGCUCUGGACAGGUACCUGGAGAUGCUUUCAACUGAAGUAAUGAAGGCAGUGUCGUGCUGUCGAGAGAAAGGUGGAUCCCAACAACAGGAAACUACCUAAAUCACCGACCAGUUCUGAUGCUGCGGGCGUAGGGUUGCCUCGCCCCUCGCCGCCUCCGCUGCUGCCACUGUCGCCGCCAAGGAAAGAGCCCUGCGAUUGUGCCCAGUCGAGCCCUCCUCCGCAACCUGUACCAGACACCACCCUAACCCCAUGGUGGAUGAAGAGGGCUCCAGGCUCCGGAAAGCCAGGUCAAGCCCUUUAGCUAACCUGAAUGUCCAUGCUUCCAUACUCUGCUCUUGGCCAAGGAAGAAAAGAAGAAAGAAAAGAGAAACCAGGCCUGGACUCCCUGAUUAAACACAGCCCAGCACUCCAGGCUGGCGAACCCGGUGGCGGCUCCUUGCACCAUUGACCUCAGGCCAGACACCUCAGCGCCGACAAUGGGACCUAAGGCUUCCGGCUAAGUUUACCCAGGGCUGGGCAGGAAACCAGAUCCGUGGAGGAGUACUGGGGCCCUUUCCUAGCAGUGGGUCCCAGAGGCAGCAAACCCAGCCCAUUCAGGACUUGACACUGAGAAAGAUCUCAACCUCUAUAGAAUUUUAGCGAUAUGGCUUUUUCCCCCAGAAAACAAGCAAACAAACACCAAGCAAACAGACAAAGAAACAAACAAACAAAAAAAGCCAGAACAAACCAGCCCUGCACAGACGAAACGGCCUGGGAGAUGGCGAGUGUGGGAGGGAGAAAGGGGCUCCGGCACAGGUGUGAGUUCUGGGGCAGAGGCUGGAGGCAGAGGAUGGGUCCAGGCGCUCAGGAAGCGAAAAGACGUUGUCUGGAAGUUUCAUCAGGAAAAAUUAAAGUUGGCUGUGAGCUCCCGGAUUCGGUUUUCUCGGUUCAUUUUCUUCAGUUUCAUCCUGCGAUUCUGAAACCAGAUUUUCACUUGUCUGUCCGUGAGGUGGACGCUACGGCUGAUCUCUAGGCGCCGCUCUCGAGUAAGGCACCUGUUUUAGCACCACGCCGCGGGGCGCUGAGAGAAUGAAAGGCCGGAGGAGGCGAGGCCGUACAUCUUGAACUUAACGCCUUUCUCUGCCUCUCACCCAGGGGCAGGGAAGCAUUUCCUGCCGGCCCCCAAGCUGGGGUAAGGGAAUGCUUCUUUGGACGAGAGGCUGGCAGCUCCACUGGCUUACCCUAGCCUCCUAGAUCGCCCCAGGCUAGAGGAGAAGGGCAUAGUUGGGCCAAUGGGGAAGUUCCAAAAACCCGAUUCUGGGGUCAAGGGCUUGGGUUUGGCUCCUGUCCCUCCAAGUAACCGGAGUGUGAAGCUGGGCAGCACCAGAUUCCAGGAGAAGGGGAAUGGCCAUUCCUAGGUUUUCAGCUCUGGGCCCAAGCGUUCCGGCCGAAUUUGUCUUUUCUUUUUUCUUACAACCAGGACUCCCGCCCCUCCAGAAACUUUGAAAAACGCAUGGGGGAUCGUAAACUCGAACUUCGCCGGUUAAUGGGCUUAUUUAUUGGCUCUGGCGGCUGCUUAUUUUGGAUGCCUUACAAACAUCCGUGCUAUCUGCAAGCGAGCCACUUUUCCUCCCUGCCCCUCCCCCCCGCGUGGGCCGCGCUGAGCAGGCUGGGCUAAGGACCAGGGCUUGGGGGUACUCAGGGCCACGAGAAAGUGCAAGCACGGGAGGAGGGCUGCUCGCUGGUGUUCUCAUCCCCCAAGUCUGGGUGAGCAGGGGCCAGAGCUGAGGACGUCUUGGUGUGGGGCCCUAAGCCGGACGUGGAUUUUUACAGCAUCCCCACGCCCAAAUAUUAAAAACAAG